UACGUAGGUGGCAAGCGUUGUCCGGAUUUAUUGGGUUUAAAUGGUGCGUAGGCGGUCCUAUAAGUCAGUGCUGAAAUAUCCCGGCUUAACCGGGAGGGUGGCAUUGAUACUGCAGGACUUGAGUAAAGUUGAGGUAGGCGGAAUUGACGGUGUAGCGGUGAAAUGCUUAGAUAUCGUCAAGAACACCGAUAGUGAAGACAGCUUACUAAACUUUAACUGACGCUGAGGCACGAAAGUGUGGGGAUCAAACAGG
rnacentral:rRNA from 1 species